GCCAUACUACGGUGCAACGAGGGCGAAAGUAAACGAUGACCCUAAAGGAACUCUACGUUAAAAUGCAUAUCAAAAUGCAAAAUUGAUCCUGACUUGGGUUUUUUGCUCCAGGAGUGAUUAUUUU
rfam:Yersinia bercovieri ATCC 43970 contig01089, whole genome shotgun sequence.